UACGAAGGGUGCAAGCGUUGCUCGGAAUUAUUGGGCGUAAAGGGUUGGUAGGUGGUCUUGUUUGUCUAAGGUGAAAUCCCAGGGCUUAACCCUGGAAGUGCCUUAGAAACGGCAAGACUAGAGUCCUAGAGGGGUUUGUGGAAUUCCCGGUGUAGCGGUGAAAUGCGUAGAGAUCGGGAGGAACACCAGCGGCGAAGGCGGCAAACUGGAUAGGCACUGACACUCAACAACGAAAGCGUGGGGAGCAAACAGG
rnacentral:rRNA from 1 species